GGAGGAGUGGCCGAGUGGUCGAAGGCAGCGGUCUUGAAAACCGCCGAGCGCAAGCUCCGGGGGUUCGAAUCCCUCCUCCUCCG
rnacentral:tRNA from 3 species